CUACGGGGUGCAGCAGGCGAGAAAACUUUGCAAUGUGCGAAAGCACGACAAGGUUAAUCCGAGUGGUUUCUGCUAAAGGAACCUUUUGACAGUCCUGGAAACACUGUUGAAUAAGGGGUGGGCAAGUUCUGGUGUCAGCCGCCGCGGUAAAACCAGCACCUCAAGUGGUCAGGAUGAUUAUUGGGCCUAAAGCAUCCGUAGCCGGCUCUGUAAGUUUUCGGUUAAAUCUGUACGCUCAACGUACAGGCUGCCGGGAAUACUGCAGAGCUAGGGAGUGGGAGAGGUAGACGGUACUCGGUAGGAAGGGGUAAAAUCCUUUGAUCUAUUGAUGACCACCUGUGGCGAAGGCGGUCUACCAGAACACGUCCGACGGUGAGGGAUGAAAGCUGGGGGAGCAAACCGGAUUAGAUACCCUGGUAGUC
rnacentral:rRNA from 1 species